UCCUUGGUGGUCCAGUGGCUAAGACUCCAUGCUCCCAAUGCAGGCAGCCCAGGUUCAAUCCCUGGUCAGGGAA
rnacentral:tRNA from 1 species